rnacentral:misc_RNA from 1 species
GGACCUAACUAUCACAAAGACUCUUGUCAUCUGGCCUUGCAACGAUUAUGCACAUUCAUGAACAAAUCCUUGGUAGAAUAGGUUUUAGACUGUUGCUUUGAUAGAUUAACUUUUUUAUGUGUGCUGUAGAUUAUAUGAUAUACACUCUGUUGAUUUACCGUACUUUUGUUUUGCAUUUUGCAGAUAUAUUUAUUUUUUAAAGACUCCAGAAAUAUGUUAUGUCAUUGCAGUGUUAAAUAUUAAAAUUAAUGCACAUCACGAUAACAUGUGGCUCAUCUUAAAUGAUUUAAUUCCACUCUCCAGCAAUUUGUCAUAUCUUUCCCCACCUAGAUUUUUGUUUGAGACAUUGCUAUAUUUAACUUUAGUCAUCAGUUUGUCUGGGGUUUUUUAACUACAGCAGUUUACUCUUAUUGUCUAAAGCAACUCUAAUUCAGUCAUAACUACAUUUAGUUCAAAUUUUUUUGUCAAAAUAAAUGUAACAAGAACAAUCGGUAUUUUAUUCUAGUCUCUUUAUGUGGCUGUGAAAAAAUCAAAACUUUGCGCUGUUGAAAUUUAAGAUCAGUAACAUUUAUAUAAUUAUGGCUUGAGAUUAGUUUUACCAGAUAUAUGUAUCGUUUACAUUGACUGUGUUUCCCUGUAGCUUACACUGCCUUGUGAGACAACCAAUAUCUGCCAUUACUAACAACACACCUAGUGCCAUUUCACUGUUUUUAAAAUAGUUACAGUAUUACUGUUUUUCUUCUGGAACAUUGAGAGUUUCUAAACCUUUCCUGGGUUACUCUCUUAUGGUUUGAAAAAUAUUUUCCUACUUUGCUUUCUUUAUAGUAAAUAAAUUACUAUGAACAU